CGUGGACUAUGAAUCCUUUGAUGCGGAGCCUUCAUCAAACAACUCCACUCCUUCAGUGCCAGUGAUCAUAGAUCAAAGGAACCUUUGAUGUCUUGCAAAGGUGACCUUCUCUCUCUCUCAGAAUUGUGACAUUUCCUCACACCGUUUCAACAUCGAGACUUGUUUACGCGCUGAAGAGCUCACCACGAACCGGAAAAGGAGGAGCCUUGUUCAAUAGCCGCUCUCCAGUAUAAAAGCAGCUGCGUUCUUCCCCCACCGCCACCAUUUUGAGAUUACCUAACGCUUGCGUGACUUCCUCCAGCGUGUCGGUUCCUUUGUCUUUGAAAAUGAGCGACCAGCUUUGUAAACUCUUCGUCGGCGGACUGAACGUGGACACGGACAGCGAUGGCCUGCGCAAGCACUUCGAGCAGUACGGCACCCUGACGGACUGCGUGGUGGUCGUCAACAAGCAGCUGCAGAGGUCGCGUUGCUUCGGCUUCGUCACCUACUCCACGCCGGAGGAGGCCGACUGCGCCAUGGGGGCUAGGCCGCACACCGUCGACGGCAACACGGUCGAGGUGAAGCGCGCCGUGGCCCGCGAAGACGCCAACAAACCCGAGGCCCUCGCCAAGGUGAAGAAGAUCUUCGUCGGCGGCCUGAAGGACGACAUCGAGGAGGAGCACCUCAUGGACCACUUCAGCCAGUACGGCGAGAUCGAGAAGGCCGAAGUCAUCUCCGACAAGGAGACCGGCAAGAAGAGGGGCUUCGGCUUCGUCUACUUCAACGAGCACGACGCGGCCGACAAGGCGGUGGUGGUGAAGUUCCACUCCAUCAAUGGACACAAAGUCGAGGUGAAGAAAGCCCUGACCAAGCAGGAGAUGCAGGCGUCCGGCAGAGGCGGCAUGGGGAUGGGGGGAGGCCGGGGAAGGGGCAUGCGCGGCGGCCAAAAUGGCUACGGCAACAGGGAGUACGGUAACUACAACUACGGAAAUGGCGGCGGGGGCUACAAUGGCGGCGGCGGUGGCGGAUACGGAGGAGGCUACGGCGGGUAUGGCGGCGGCUAUGGAGACCAGGGAAGUGGUGGCUAUGGAGGUGGAAACGGCUACAACGAUUUUGGAAGCGGCUACGGGCAGCACACCUCCGGCUACGGGCCCAUGAAGGGAGGACCCUUCGGCAGCCAGCGGAGCGCGGCGCCCUACACCCGGGGAGGCGGCGGUGGAGGCGGCGGCGGAUACCCGAGGGGAGGCUAUGGCGGCGGUGGCUACUAGACGAGAAACUGCACAAUGGAAACCCGAGCACCCAUCCCCCUCCGCCUCAACCCACCUCCGGCCUAAACUCAAAUUCAGUUACGGGGGCGUCUGUCGUGAAACCCACCCAUGGCAGCGAAAUGGACACAGAGACCCCCUCUAAUCAUAACGAAGACCCCAAACAGGUUGCUAUGGUAACCUGGGUACGAGGACAUCACCCCUGACAAACGAUGGGGGUGCGUGUCUCCACGCUGGCGGGGGGGACCAAGAGAGGCUGUGUCUUCUCCCCCUCAGGUGAAGUCAAUUUCACAACGGAUUCCAGUGUGUGGUCUAAAUGACCUGAGAGGUUUUGAUUUGGGGUGGAGUGAGCGCUCUCCACUGAUUUUUAUUGCUGUGAAUAUUACUUGACUUAACCUCUCAUUGCAGGUUGUGGACAUUAGUGGAUUCCCUUUCAAAAUGUUAUUUUUACUUUAACUGACCUGACUAGGUAUUACUCCGAGUCAUAUGACAAAAGAAUCUUAUUGGUUUCAACCAAAACUACAGGUAUAACCAGGAAAACCCAAAGUGUAAUGGGUUAUUUGAAGAUACAUUGCACAUUAUGUAAGUAUUCAAAUGAUUGUCCUCAGAUGAUGCAGAUAAACUCAACAUAAGUUUUCAAAGUACAAUAAAUUAUGUCAACACUUAUAAAUAAAUGUAUAUACUAAAUAUCUAUCGUUUCUUCAAGGAUGAGCAGAAAUAAAGUUGAAUGACUUUAUCCAUCAUAUCAGUUAAGAAGGAUCAUCUGUCUGCAGACUCUUCAAAAUAGGAAACCAUGAUGGAAACUUGCCUCUUGAUUAAAUGCACACCUUGAUACGCAUAUGUCUGUUAACUUUGAAUAAAACCUAUACAAAAUUA